GAUGAACGCUGGCGGCGUGCCUAAUACAUGCAAGUCGAGCGAACAGAUGAGGAGCUUGCUCCUCUGACGUUAGCGGCGGACGGGUGAGUAACACGUGGAUAACCUACCUAUAAGACUGGGAUAACUUCGGGAAACCGGAGCUAAUACCGGAUAAUAUAUUGAACCGCAUGGUUCAAUAGUGAAAGACGGUUUUGCUGUCACUUAUAGAUGGAUCCGCGCCGCAUUAGCUAGUUGGUAAGGUAACGGCUUACCAAGGCAACGAUGCGUAGCCGACCUGAGAGGGUGGUCGGCCACACGGGAACUGAGACACGGUCCAGACUCCUACGGGAGGCGGCAGUAGGGAAUCUUCCGCAAUGGGCGAAAGCCUGACGGAGCAACGCCGCGUGAGUGAUGAAGGUCUUCGGAUCGUAAAACUCUGUUAUUAGGGAAGAACAAAUGUGUAAGUAACUAUGCACGUCUUGACGGUACCUAAUCAGAAAGCCACGGCUAACUACGUG
rnacentral:rRNA from 1 species